AACGAAGGGGGCAAGCGUUGUUCGGAAUUACUGGGCGUAAAGGGCGCGUAGGCGGCCUGUUAAGUCGGACGUGAAAUCCCCGGGCUCAACCCGGGAACUGCGUCCGAUACUGGCAGGCUUGAAUCCGGGAGAGGGAUGUGGAAUUCCAGGUGUAGCGGUGAAAUGCGUAGAUAUCUGGAGGAACACCGGUGGCGAAGGCGGCAUCCUGGACCGGCAUUGACGCUGAGGCGCGAAAGCCAGGGGAGCAAACGGG
rnacentral:rRNA from 1 species